rnacentral:tRNA from 1 species
GGAGAGAUAGCGAAGAGGCUAAACGCGGCGGACUGUAAAUCCGCUCCUUCGGGUUCGGGGGUUCGAAUCCCUCUCUCUCCAUCA